UACAGAGGGUGCAAGCGUUGUUCGGAAUUAUUGGGUGUAAAGCGCGUGUAGGCGGCUUUGCAAGUCGGGUGUGAAAGCCCUCAGCUCAACUGAGGAAGUGCGCCCGAAACUGCAGAGCUUGAGUGCCGGAGAGGGUGGCGGAAUUCCCCAAGUAGAGGUGAAAUUCGUAGAUAUGGGGAGGAACACCGGUGGCGAAGGCGGCCACCUGGACGGUAACUGACGCUGAGACGCGAAAGCGUGGGGAGCAAACAGG
rnacentral:rRNA from 1 species